GACGAACGCUGGCGGCGUGCUUAACACAUGCAAGUCGAACGGAAAGGCCCUGCUUUUGUGGGGUGCUCGAGUGGCGAACGGGUGAGUAACACGUGAGUAACCUGCCCUUGACUUUGGGAUAACUUCAGGAAACUGGGGCUAAUACCGGAUAGGAGCUCCUGCUGCAUGGUGGGGGUUGGAAAGUUUCGGCGGUUGGGGAUGGACUCGCGGCUUAUCAGCUUGUUGGUGGGGUAGUGGCUUACCAAGGCUUUGACGGGUAGCCGGCCUGAGAGGGUGACCGGCCACAUUGGGACUGAGAUACGGACCAGACUCCUACGGGAGGCAGCAGUGGGGAAUAUGGCACAAUGGGCGGAAGCCUGAUGCAGCAACGUCGCGUGCGGGAUGACGGCCUUCGGGUGGUAAACCGCUUUCGCCUGUGACGAAGCGUGAGUGACGGUAAUGGGUAAAGAAGCACCGGCUAACUACGUG
rnacentral:rRNA from 1 species